rnacentral:rRNA from 1 species
AUGAACAAAAUGCCAGAUGUCGCGAUGACUCUAGCCGUUGUUGCCCUGUUUGCUGAUGGUCCAACCGCUAUCAGAGAUGUUGCCUCCUGGAGAGUGAAGGAAACCGAAAGAAUGGUCGCGAUCCGGACCGAGCUGACGAAGCUGGGAGCAACGGUGGAGGAAGGCCCAAACUACUGCAUCAUCAUGCCACCGGAGAAGAUGAACGUCACAGUGAUCGACACGUACGACGACCACCGGAUGGCGAUGGCUUUCUCCCUGGCGGCCUGCGCCGAGGUGCCAGUCACCAUCAGGGACCCCGGGUGCACCCGCAAGACCUUCCCCAACUACUUCGACGUGCUAAGCACCUUCGUCAAGAACUAG